rnacentral:rRNA from 1 species
CCUACGGGAGGCAGCAGUGAGGAAUAUUGGUCAAUGGGCGAGAGCCUGAACCAGCCAAGUCGCGUGAGGGAGUACUGCCCUAUGGGUUGUAAACCUCUUUUGUCGGGGAGCAAAAGCCGGACGUGUCCGGCUGUGAGAGUACCCGCAGAAAAAGCAUCGGCUAACUCCGUGCCAGCAGCCGCGGUAAUACGGAGGAUGCGAGCGUUAUCCGGAUUUAUUGGGUUUAAAGGGUGCGCAGGCGGAUUUUUAAGUCAGCGGUCAAAUCGUGGGGCUCAACCCCAUCCAGCCGUUGAAACUGGGGAUCUAGAGUGUGCGAGAGGUAUGCGGAAUGCGUGGUGUAGCGGUGAAAUGCAUAGAUAUCACGCAGAACCCCGAUUGCGAAGGCAGCUUGCUGCAGCGGAACUGACGCUGAUGCUCGAAAGCGCGGGUAUCGAACAGGAUUAGAUACCCGGGUAGUC